AUUCAUGACUUGCCCAAUAGCUACCCUGAGUCGGAAGACUUUUGUGUGCGUGUCAUGUGUGUGUGUGCAACUGCAAGCGAUGCAAUAAAUCAGAAUGUUUUAAACAGGCAAAGCGAAUACCGCUGCAGGGUCUCCAGGGCGCCACGAUGAACAAUGUUGCCAUCAAAGUGUUGAUGUUUGACAAGUGAUGAGUCACUUCCCAUGUCCAGAGAGAAGCUCACACCUGUAUGGAGAUGAUUACAGGUAUUCAGACAGACGAGAGGCCGCCAGCAUUGGACAACUUAAAUUUGGAAGUUUUUCUAAGUGUAUGCGUUGCUCUUGGAUGCUGCAAUGGAAUUCAGAGGGACACGGCAUCCAGGUUUGGAGAUGGCAGCCGAGAACGAGGCUGCCAACCACCUAAGAACAGACUCUGGAUUUCUGGGGUCACGGAUCGGCCUCGCACCACACAACAUUAUUAGCUAGCUAAACAGCGUUGCUACAGUCACAAUCUCCCCUCCCUUUAGUGUAGCAACGCCUCUUGUAACCAGGGCAACCCAUAAUAAAAAGAGGAGAUAGCGGAAGAGGAGUCCAGAAUUGGUGGAGGACUGUAACUGGGCCUUCUACGUAAUUCUCCUCGCGAGCAAAAGGAAUACUGGUUGUCUUCUCCUCUUGUUUCAGUGUAUAAAAUAAUGUCUUAUGGUACUUAGACCUGACAAAUAGCGGAACCACAAACAUGAAAUUCGCAAUGGAGGGCUAUACAGCAGACCAAAAAAAUCUGAAAAAUUGCGGAACCACGAACCUGAAAUCCACAGUGGAGGGCUAUUUACUUUAUUAGCACCUUUUAGUGUCAGACUUCAUUUUUUUUUUACAAAUAUUUAAAGUCACAAAAUAUCCCCUCCAAAUUCCCAUGGCUUUGGAUAAAAGAUCUCAGAGUUAUUUGGAGAAAAAGCAUCUUUUCAAGGUUUUUCUUUUUAGUGCAAUGUGAGACGACAGUCUUAAUUAAAGCUGCCCCCAUUGUGCGUGUUCAUUGAGUCGUGUUUCCUCCAUCGCUUUGUAGGCUGAAAGCGGUUGACAAUAUUACCGCUAAUGUGCCCGAGCGUGUAAGAUCUCCUCGAGAGAAAACGAUGUAUGAAGCAUUUCCAUCGAGUUUUGGCCGCAGGGAGCGCCGAGUGUCUGCACGCUCGUCGCUCAGGAGCUCACCGCUGGGAGGAUGAAACACUUCCCACGGGGCCCCCUUCCUCUGUGACUUCCUGGCCUCAAAAGCCCGCCAUGAGCUCGCACCUCAUCUUUUAGUUUCCCUGAGCAGAGAGAGCUAAGAGGAAAGGGGGAGGAAGGGGGGGGGGGUGUUGUUGGAGCAACAUUAUACUGCUGUAAAAGAUGCUCGGCCUCCAACCGUCAUCUGUAGCAGGUUUUGGGCUCGGGUGCCAAGGCUUUCUCUGGACUUAAUCCAGCAGAGUUUCUCGUCAGUAAAACCUCACCUGGCUUGUUUCCACUGCAAUAUGUCUACUUUUAGAUACACAGUAUGUGUCUAUGGUGUUCAAAAUAUAGCCAAUAUCUCUUGCAAUAUGUUUGGGAAAAAACAUUUCAUAAUAUUGCAAUUCAUAAAAGCAAAUAGUAAGUGGACAUUUCGAUUUCUUUGUGUGUCUUGGCAUGAAGGAAUUGACAAUAAAGCUGACUCUGACUCUCUGACUCUGACUAAGUAAGAUGCAGUAAUUGCUUUUUGCAGAGGAUAAAGAAUAUAUUCUUUAUGAAAUUAUUUUGUCUGCGUACAUGUCCUGAUGCAUCAUUUGUGUUCAAAUAUCGUAAAACUACACCACCAUUUAGAUUUUUGUGUCCUGCAGAGAUAAAGCAACUUUAAACGUGACUGUCACAAGGCGUUUUUUGUCUAACACACCUAAUCUCGUUAUUCUGAGAACGACACUUUGAGUCCGCCAUUAUUUCGCCGCUCUCACGCCGUAGGUGACAGCCCACCUUUAGCCCGGCUUAGUGGCGUAAGCGGCUCUAUUAAAUCCAGCGUCUCGUCCGGCCCGGGUCAUUGUCUCAGCGAGCUGCCCUUGUAUUCUAGAACCUCCUAUUGUUUUCUCCUCCUGAACCAUUUAAGCAGAUCAAAGCGUAGACAAAGCCACGGGGAAGCCCGAGGCAUGCGGAAACACGGCAAUUAUUCGACCCCCUCCGGGUUAAAGACAAAUCGAGCAGCCCCGGGGGGUGUCUCCCUGUGGGACAUCUCUAUUCACAACCAGUCCAUGUGCCCCAUUUCUUUUUAGUGUCAUUUCCCAAUUUGGCGUGAUUUGAAAGUUCCACAAUAGCAAUUUGCCAUACGGUAGCAUUUAUUGAAUACAUAUCAGAAUUUGUAGAAGGAUUUCUAAACUAACAAAACUUCGUCGGAAAGAUCACAAACAGCUUGUCGGCCUAGUAUUGUCUGAGCCCACAUGCUGGUGAAUGAUUAGCAGAAAUAAUGUCCCUGUCACCCUUAAUCACAUUAAAACGUGGUUAACAUUUAAUUUUUUU